CUACAGGCUUAACACAUGCAAGUCGAGGGGCAGCAUGGUCUUAGCUUGCUAAGGCCGAUGGCGACCGGCGCACGGGUGAGUAACACGUAUCCAACCUGCCGUCUACUCUUGGACAGCCUUCUGAAAGGAAGAUUAAUACAAGCUGGCAUCAUGAGUCCGCAUGUUCACAUGAUUAAAGGUAUUCCGGUAGACGAUGGGGAUGCGUUCCAUUAGAUAGUAGGCGGGGUAACGGCCCACCUAGUCUUCGAUGGAUAGGGGUUCUGAGAGGAAGGUCCCCCACAUUGGAACUGAGACACGGUCCAAACUCCUACGGGAGGCAGCAGUGAGGAAUAUUGGUCAAUGGGCGAGAGCCUGAACCAGCCAAGUAGCGUGAAGGAUGACUGCCCUAUGGGUUGUAAACUUCUUUUAUAAAGGAAUAAAGUCGGGUAUGGAUACCCGUUUGCAUGUACUUUAUGAAUAAGGAUCGGCUAACUCCGUGCCAGCAGCCGCGGUAAUACGGAGGAUCCGAGCGUUAUCCGGAUUUAUUGGGUUUAAAGGGAGCGUAGAUGGAUGUUUAAGUCAGUUGUGAAAGUUUGCGGCUCAACCGUAAAAUUGCAGUUGAUACUGGAUAUCUUGAGUGCAGUUGAGGCAGGCGGAAUUCGUGGUGUAGCGGUGAAAUGCUUAGAUAUCACGAAGAACUCCGAUUGCGAAGGCAGCCUGCUAAGCUGCAACUGACAUUGAGGCUCGAAAGUGUGGGUAUCAAACAGGAUUAGAUACCCUGGUAGUCCACACGGUAAACGAUGAAUACUCGCUGUUUGCGAUAUACAGCAAGCGGCCAAGCGAAAGCGUUAAGUAUUCCACCUGGGGAGUACGCCGGCAACGGUGAAACUCAAAGGAAUUGACGGGGGCCCGCACAAGCGGAGGAACAUGUGGUUUAAUUCGAUGAUACGCGAGGAACCUUACCCGGGCUUAAAUUGCAGAUGAAUUACGGUGAAAGCCGUAAGCCGCAAGGCAUCUGUGAAGGUGCUGCAUGGUUGUCGUCAGCUCGUGCCGUGAGGUGUCGGCUUAAGUGCCAUAACGAGCGCAACCCUUGUUGUCAGUUACUAACAGGUUCCGCUGAGGACUCUGACAAGACUGCCAUCGUAAGAUGUGAGGAAGGUGGGGAUGACGUCAAAUCAGCACGGCCCUUACGUCCGGGGCUACACACGUGUUACAAUGGGGGGUACAGAGGGCCGCUACCACGCGAGUGGAUGCCAAUCCCCAAAACCUCUCUCAGUUCGGACUGGAGUCUGCAACCCGACUCCACGAAGCUGGAUUCGUUAGUAAUCGCGCAUCAGCCACGGCGCGGUGAAUACGUUCCCGGGCCUUGUACACACCGCCCGUCAAGCCAUGGGAGCCGGGGGUACCUGAAGUGCGUAACCGCGAGGAGCGCCCUAGGGUAAAACUGGUGACUGGGGCUAA
rnacentral:rRNA from 1 species